UAGCGACCUUGGGGAAAGAUUUAUCGCCGAAGGAUUGGCCCGCGUCCGAUUAGCUAGUUGGUGAGGUAAUGGCUCACCAAGGCGACGAUCGGUAGCUGGUCUGAGAGGAUGAUCAGCCACAUUGGGACUGAGACACGGCCCAAACUCCUACGGGAGGCAGCAGUGGGGAAUAUUGGACAAUGGGCGCAAGCCUGAUCCAGCCAUGCCGCGUGAGUGAUGACGGCCCUAGGGUUGUAAAGCUCUUUCACCCACGACGAUAAUGACGGUAGUGGGAGAAGAAGCCCCGGCUAACUUCGUGCCAGCAGCCGCGGUAAUACGAAGGGGGCUAGCGUUGUUCGGAUUUACUGGGCGUAAAGCGCGCGUAGGCGGAUCUUUAAGUCAGGGGUGAAAUGCCCGGAGCUCAACUUCGGAACUGCCUUUGAUACUGGAG
rnacentral:rRNA from 1 species